CUAAUACAUGCAAGUCGAGCGAGCGGAACCAACAGAUUUACUUCGGUAAUGACGUUGGGAAAGCGAGCGGCGGAUGGGUGAGUAACACGUGGGGAACCUGCCCCUAAGUCUGGGAUACCAUUUGGAAACAGGUGCUAAUACCGGAUAAUAAAGCAGAUCGCAUGAUCAGCUUUUGAAAGGCGGCGUAAGCUGUCGCUAAGGGAUGGCCCCGCGGUGCAUUAGCUAGUUGGUAAGGUAACGGCUUACCAAGGCGACGAUGCAUAGCCGAGUUGAGAGACUGAUCGGCCACAUUGGGACUGAGACACGGCCCAAACUCCUACGGGAGGCAGCAGUAGGGAAUCUUCCACAAUGGACGCAAGUCUGAUGGAGCAACGCCGCGUGAGUGAAGAAGGUUUUCGGAUCGUAAAGCUCUGUUGUUGGUGAAGAAGGAUAGAGGUAGUAACUGGCCUUUAUUUGACGGUAAUCAACCAGAAAGUCACGGCUAACUACGUGCCAGCAGCCGCGGUAAUACGUAGGUGGCAAGCGUUGUCCGGAUUUAUUGGGCGUAAAGCGAGCGCAGGCGGAAAAAUAAGUCUAAUGUGAAAGCCCUCGGCUUAACCGAGGAACUGCAUCGGAAACUGUUUUUCUUGAGUGCAGAAGAGGAGAGUGGAACUCCAUGUGUAGCGGUGGAAUGCGUAGAUAUAUGGAAGAACACCAGUGGCGAAGGCGGCUCUCU
rnacentral:rRNA from 1 species